UAGAAAAUGCAAUGCGUAUACCUACUUC
rnacentral:sRNA from 1 species